rnacentral:rRNA from 1 species
GAGGUGAUAUGAACCGUUAUAACCGGCGAUUUCCGAAUGGGGAAACCCAGUGUGUUUCGACACACUAUCAUUAACUGAAUCCAUAGGUUAAUGAGGCGAACCGGGGGAACUGAAACAUCUAAGUACCCCGAGGAAAAGAAAUCAACCGAGAUUCCCCCAGUAGCGGCGAGCGAACGGGGAGGAGCCCAGAGCCUGAAUCAGUGUGUGUGUUAGUGGAAGCGUCUGGAAAGGCGCGCGAUACAGGGUGACAGCCCCGUACACAAAAAUGCACAUAUUGUGAGCUCGAUGAGUAGGGCGGGACACGUGGUAUCCUGUCUGAAUAUGGGGGGACCAUCCUCCAAGGCUAAAUACUCCUGACUGACCGAUAGUGAACCAGUACCGUGAGGGAAAGGCGAAAAGAACCCCGGCGAGGGGAGUGAAAAAGAACCUGAAACCGUGUACGUACAAGCAGUGGGAGCCUCUUUAUGGGGUGACUGCGUACCUUUUGUAUAAUGGGUCAGCGACUUAUAUUCUGUAGCAAGGUUAACCGAAUAGGGGAGCCGAAGGGAAACCGAGUCUUAACUGGGCGUUAAGUUGCAGGGUAUAGACCCGAAACCCGGUGAUCUAGCCAUGGGCAGGUUGAAGGUUGGGUAACACUAACUGGAGGACCGAACCGACUAAUGUUGAAAAAUUAGCGGAUGACUUGUGGCUGGGGGUGAAAGGCCAAUCAAACCGGGAGAUAGCUGGUUCUCCCCGAAAGCUAUUUAGGUAGCGCCUCGUGAAUUCAUCUCCGGGGGUAGAGCACUGUUUCGGCAAGGGGGUCAUCCCGACUUACCAACCCGAUGCAAACUGCGAAUACCGGAGAAUGUUAUCACGGGAGACACACGGCGGGUGCUAACGUCCGUCGUGAAGAGGGAAACAACCCAGACCGCCAGCUAAGGUCCCAAAGUCAUGGUUAAGUGGGAAACGAUGUGGGAAGGCCCAGACAGCCAGGAUGUUGGCUUAGAAGCAGCCAUCAUUUAAAGAAAGCGUAAUAGCUCACUGGUCGAGUCGGCCUGCGCGGAAGAUGUAACGGGGCUAAACCAUGCACCGAAGCUGCGGCAGCGACACUAUGUGUUGUUGGGUAGGGGAGCGUUCUGUAAGCCUGUGAAGGUGGCCUGUGAGGGUUGCUGGAGGUAUCAGAAGUGCGAAUGCUGACAUAAGUAACGAUAAAGCGGGUGAAAAGCCCGCUCGCCGGAAGACCAAGGGUUCCUGUCCAACGUUAAUCGGGGCAGGGUGAGUCGACCCCUAAGGCGAGGCCGAAAGGCGUAGUCGAUGGGAAACAGGUUAAUAUUCCUGUACUUGGUGUUACUGCGAAGGGGGGACGGAGAAGGCUAUGUUGGCCGGGCGACGGUUGUCCCGGUUUAAGCGUGUAGGCUGGUUUUCCAGGCAAAUCCGGAAAACCAAGGCUGAGGCGUGAUGACGAGGCACUACGGUGCUGAAGCGACAAAUGCCCUGCUUCCAGGAAAAGCCUCUAAGCAUCAGGUAACAUCAAAUCGUACCCCAAACCGACACAGGUGGUCAGGUAGAGAAUACCAAGGCGCUUGAGAGAACUCGGGUGAAGGAACUAGGCAAAAUGGUGCCGUAACUUCGGGAGAAGGCACGCUGAUAUGUAGGUGAAGCGACUUGCUCGUGGAGCUGAAAUCAGUCGAAGAUACCAGCUGGCUGCAACUGUUUAUUAAAAACACAGCACUGUGCAAACACGAAAGUGGACGUAUACGGUGUGACGCCUGCCCGGUGCCGGAAGGUUAAUUGAUGGGGUUAGCGGUAACGCGAAGCUCUUGAUCGAAGCCCCGGUAAACGGCGGCCGUAACUAUAACGGUCCUAAGGUAGCGAAAUUCCUUGUCGGGUAAGUUCCGACCUGCACGAAUGGCGUAAUGAUGGCCAGGCUGUCUCCAC